CCCAGGGAGGAAGGAGGUGUUACGUCUCUGCUCCUCUCGCCUCCUCUCACUAAAAGUCUGACUGGCGAGUGUGUGUGUGUGUGUGUGUGUGUGCGUCGCGCUCAGACACCGUGCAGUGCUUACCUGGUGAAGUGAUGGGAAGUGACUACCUGUUUACCUUAAUGAACUCUGGUGAGGUGAAAAAGGUAGUUGGGUAAUUAGAACUGCAUUAACUUUGAGAAUUUUGACUGAUGAAUGGAAGUACUUAAAAUCAGCUACCUUUUAAUGAUUAGUACUGUGGGAAAGGUAGACAGAUGACUGGAACCACUGAAGUAAUUGCGUGAUACCUGUUCUCACCUUGAAUAAAUCUGUAAAAAAGGUAGACUGAGGGUUAAAACGACCUUAACGUAGGUGUACCUUGAAAAAUAGAGGUGGACUGAUUAAUGAAACUCCUACCUGCUUAUCUUAAUGAUCUGGUACUGUAAAAAAAAAAAAAGGUACUUGAAUCAUAAUAACUAACUUAAUUGUAUUUGAAUAAGGUGAACUAAUAAGUGGAGUGCUUAAAAUCCACCUUAAUUGAAGGAGAACUCUGUUAAAAAGGUGGCUAUAUAAUUAGAACCACUUCAACUUAAUGGCAUAUGAAAAGGUGAGCAGAUGAAUGAAAUGUGAUUAAAAACGACUACCUUUUCUUCCCUUUAAUGAACUAUAUUACCGUAGAAAACAAGUGAAAGUGUAAAUCUAUCACCUGUUCGUACCUUAAUUGAGGGAGGAUACACAGAAAGGUAGAUUGACAAUUAGAGCCACUUUAAUUGUAUUUGAAAAAGGUGGGCAUAAAUGGAAAGUACUAAAAACAAUCUCUUCUUACAUUAAUGAACUGUAGAAGGUAGAUUGCUGAUUAGAACUACCUUAGAACUACCUUAGAACUACCUUAACUUAAUCGUACUUGAAAAAGGUGAACUAAUGAGUGAAAAUUAAGAAUAUCACCUGUUUUUACCUGAACUGAAAGGGGUCACUGAGAUUUAUUGAUGACUUAACGCACCUUAACGUAAUUACUCUUAGAAAGAUUAAUUGAGUUAUAUCCUUACUUCAACAACCCCUAAGAUCGAAAAGGCUAGAGGGACAAAUUGAACGGCAUUUUACCUUAACUUGUACUACUAAAACAGUGAAGGGGUGUGCGGGAACUGACCUUAAUGAUACUAGUAAGGUGAAUAUAGGUGAAAAGAUACGCUUUACUAAAAAUAAAUAGAGCAGAAACUAAAUUAAUCUAAUGAAAAAGGUUAAUGUAGGUGAACAAAAACUUACCUUUACUAAUGAAAAAGAGGAACCCAAAAGUCAAUAGAGGAAAAAGAACAGUGGACAGAGACUAACUUAACGAAUCCAAUUAAAAGGUUAAUGUAGAUGAACAGAAGUGUACCUUACCUUACCUGUACUAAUGAAAAAAGGUAGCCAAAAUUAAGUAGAGGAAAAGAAUAGAGGGCAGACACUAAUUUAACGAAUCUAAUUAAAAGGUAAAUACAAAAAACGUAACAAAACUAAAUUAGACGAACCCAAAAAGUUAAUAGUGAACAGAAAGUUAACGAAUCUUAUGAAAAGGUAAAUAUAGAAACAAAAACGUAAGAAAAGAAAAAACGAACCAAAAAAAAAAAAAGUGAACAGAAACUUGACGAAUAUAAUAAAAGUGUAAAUAUAGACGAACAGAAAACGCACCUUGUCUUAAUUGUAGUAUUGAAAAAUUGAUAGAAGGUUAAUAGAGGAACAAGAAUAGUGAACAGAAACUAAUGAAAGGCAAGAGAUGAACUGAAACUUACCUUGAACUUUGAUAAUACUAAUGAAAAGGUAACGAAAGAUCGAGACAAACUUGCUUACCUUAAUUUAACUAUAUCAGUGAAAAUGCGAUACGUAAUAAAAUAGUUAAAGAAAAGAUUAGAAACAAAUAAUCAACUUUAUCUGAAAUUAACUGAAAAAGGUGACGAGAGAUAAAAAAAAAACAAUAGAAAAAAAUAAAUAAAAGAAAGAAAAGAAAGCAGGAUUUGAAAGAACUGCAUACAUCUUACCUGAACCUCACCUGGAAAUUAAUUAAAAGCGACACCUAACCAAAAAAGUACUCAAGAUAACAGAUUUUUUUUUUUUUUUUUUUCCCAGAGAGGAGUGUUCGUCUCAAAUUCGUCUCAAAGGUGGAAUAUCACGAAUUCAUGAAGGUUUUGUUUUGUGUGCUUUUGUGUACGUGUGUCGCUCAGGUGAAAGUUAAUUAAGUUUCGUGUGAGGACUAACCUGGGUGGGCAUCGAACCCUGAAAUCCCACGUUAAGAGGCAAAACUUUCACCACCACCACCACCACCACCACCACUGUCUGCCCCUUCUCACCUCAGCCAGUUAACGUCCCCCAGGAGUACCGCCCCCUCAGCGUCACCCUUUCAUCACCCCCACACUGCCCUUCUCACCUUCCGGGUCUCCCCCCCCCCCUCACCUGCCUUUCCGCCUACAGGUGCUACACAGGUGUGUGUGUGUUUACCUGCGUGCAACACCUGUACCUACCCUGGCAACACUGCUUCCCCCUGGACUGUAAUCGCCAUGAUGGGCCGCAGACGUGUCCUAGACGUGUUUCCCUCACUGCUGCUGCUUCUGCUCUCCGUGGUCUCCGCUGCGCCUUCUACAGCAGGUGACAGCAGCGGCAGCAGGCACCCACGCUGGGCCACCACCUCCUUAUUACGAGCAGGCAACCACUAUCACCACCACCACCACCACCACCACAGCCACCACCACCAUGUCUCCAGGUUCUCGCUCUCAUCCUUCAGCGCCUCUAGGAACUCCAUUCACUCCUUCAGAAACAACAGUGUGGCCAACCUUACGGCGCAGCUCGGAGGGACGGCCUUUCUCCCCUGCAGGACAACCUAUGUCAUGGAGCGACAGCUCCUGCCGCAGGUUUCAUGGGUAAGACGAAGGGACUGGCACAUCCUCACCUCUGGCACCCUCACCUACACACGGGAGGAGCGCUUCUCUGUUCACCAUCCAGAGGGCAGCACUGAGUGGACGCUGGCGAUUAAGUACGUUCAGUUAGCUGAUGCGGGCACAUAUGAGUGUCAGGUGUCCACGGCGGAGGGCCUGGCAUCUCACCUGGUAGCGCUGGAGGUGGUGGUGCCCCGUGCUGUCAUCCCAGGGCAGGAGGAGCACCACGUGGAGGCGGGGUCAACCAUCUCCCUCACCUGCUUCAUUGAACAGAGUCCCGUGGCGCCGCAGUACAUCUUCUGGUACCACAACGCGCGCAUGAUCAACUACGACCGGGAAAGAGGCGGCGUCACGGUGCACAUCGAGGCCCAGCCCAAGGUCGCCUCGCUCCUCAGGGUGCGUGACGCGCGGCCCGAGGACUCCGGCAACUACACCUGCGCCGCGGCCAACACUGAGUCUGCCUCCGUCACUGUGUACAUCACGGAGGCUGCUAACAAGAUCGCAGCGGUGCAGCCUCGCGCGCCGGACAGCAGCGCAGCCCCAGUGCUUUCCCUGCCCCUACUGCUAACGCUGCUGGUCCUCGCCCCGCUGCUACGCUACCUCUCAGAACUUUGAACAUACGCACUCACACACUCUCUCACACGCUCCCUCACACCUCUCUCACUCCUACGCCUUCCAGUGUGACAAGUUGAUGGAUUGCUGGGUUGGACAGAUUCAGGGCUUCACUCCAGUAAGCCAGCGCCCUCCAUGCCAGUCCCUCUAUGCCUCCCCGGGUUCCUAUUUUAAAGUCCUACGGAAAUAUCAAGAUUUGUUUCAUAGGUCACUCCUGCCUUCCUGUGUGACAUGGGAGGCGUCACGUGGUCCUGGGACGAGAGGUCAAAGUCACAGGAGGUCACGUGCUGCGCGGCUGGUCUGCGCAGUAACUCACACCGUCCAGGACCCAACUUUUCUGGUCUUGGCCCGACUUACAGUAGUCCCCCUUAGUAAAUCUUCAUAGAAAACGGCGAGGCUGGAAGGGAGAACAUCUGUAAAAGAGUUAAUGUUACUCAGUUUUAAAGGAAAUGAUAAGGGUCUAUUUUGAAAGGCUGUUUUCUCCCUUUGUGACUGUUUUUCAGAGGCCACGUGAAUAAGUCAGGCUCUAUUGGGUGUUUUUCCAUGUUUAACCAUCACCGGGCGCCGGUGAAAGAAUUAACAUGACUGAGUUUCAAGGGAGAUAAUAAGAGUUUGUAUAUUGACACGCUACUCUCUGUUUUCCGAAGGCCACACGGAUGGUAUGCCAGGCUUUUCUAUCUAUCAGUAGUGCAGACUCCGUGUUAAGCCCCAGUGUCUGUUGAAAGCAGUCGAGAUGGGACGCCAAAACGUUUGAGAACACUGUCACCAGUUUCGCACUGAACAAACCACUCUCUAGUGCAGGGGUCCGCAACCUGGGGUGCGCGUGCUCCCAGGCGUCCGUGAGAGACAUUUUGGGGCACGUGACAGGUCUGUGAUAGUGCCUGGACUGACCCAUGCAUUCACAGACUGUUGUUGAAGUUGUUGUCAUUACGCGCGGUACUGAAAGAAAGUUGGAGGAUAGAAUAAAUAAAGGAAAAAGGCUAUGAAGAUUGCAAUGGGGAAGGAACUUUUAAUGACAGAUUUUAUAUACUGAUAGAUUUAUGAGGGUAAUUUUCUGUCAUCACGCACCGAUAAAUUUGUGGAUUUCUUGUUAUUUACUGAUGAAUUCGUGGAUGCAGGUGUUAUGUUCAGACUGCAUCCUGGUGCAUUCUGGGUAAGGGGCACAUAAUCAGUAAUGAAAGACUGAAGGGGUACAAGAUUAUAAAGGAUAUACUGAAAAUCUUAAGGGGUACGAGAUUAAAAGGUUAUACUGAAAGACUUAAAGGGCUACAAGAUUAAAAGGUUAUACUGAAAGGCAUAAGGAGUACGAGAUUAAAAAGAUUACACUGGAAAACUUUAGAGAUACAAGAUUAAAAGGUUAUACUGAAAGACUUUAAGGGUAUAAGAUUAAAAAGGUUGAGGACCCCUGCUCUAGUAUGAAUGUUCAGCCUUGGAAACUUCAAUGAAUAUAUCAGGACCACAGAUAAGAUACAUCAUGUUCAUUGUAAGUAAAUAUGAUCUUCACCUCCAGGAAGGAAGUAAACUGCAGCUGCUUGUAUUUUCUCCUGAAGCAGUUUACCCUUCCGUGUGUGAAGGCAGGAGUUGGUGUCUGAGGCGUGCUAACCUUUGUUCUCAUGUCUCGCUUUUUUAUUCACUAUUUUUCGUUACUUAUUUACAGUUAUUUAUUUUUUGAAUUUUUCUAGCAAAUUACCUGUAUUAUUAUUAUUAUUAUUAUCAUUAUUAUUAUUAUUCCCUCUAUACUCGUCUGUUUUCUUUUUUUUCCAUUUAUUUAUUCAUAUAACAGACUUUUCUCGAUAUUAUUCCCUCUAUCCAUUUUUCUUUUUUUUUAUUUUUAUUUUCAGAUUAUUAAGUUAUCAAGCUAUUUUUUUUUUCCAGAUUCUUAUUCGUUAUCAUUCAUUCAUCAUUCUAUUUAUUUUUCCAGAUUGUUAUGAAAAAAAAAAAAUCACAUCAUGUUAAAUAUAUUCACUCCGGAACGACUGAUGUGCUGUACAUACGUUACUGCAUACUUAAAGUUACACUGUCUCUGUGAACUGUAUACAUGUAAGUGCGUCUGUAUUUUGUGACUGGUAAAUAGAUUAUAUAUUUUUUAUAAAGGUUAUUAUAUAAAUACUGAUCCAUAAUCAUUGUAAGGAAGUGUUUCAAUGUGGAUGCCUAAAAUACUUUCCUUUUUUAUUUAACUUUUCUUUUACCUACAUGCCACAAUGUGCCCGAUUUCACAGCUGUCUGGUAAUAUACAUAGACAAAAGCUGUACUUACUGCCAUUACCAACACCUGGAUCUGAUUUCACAGUCGUUUUCAUGGUUUCGGUAAUCCCCAUCGUAACGAAUAUAACAAAACGAAAGUCUUUGGUUCCGUAAUGUUAGCACUGGUUUGGUGGUGGUGGUGGUGGUGGUGGUGAUCACUCACUGGGAACAAUCACAACAGGAAGCGACUGUGACAUCAGUUCUUAGUAAUGAUGGAACACAGGAAGCCUCAAUGGUGGAGCCGCUGAAAGGACGGAACUUUCCAUUUUUUUUUUUUUCUAUUUUGCACGUUUUUGUUUGUUUAUGCAUUUGUUUGAACAAUAGUGUCAUCAAGGACUGUCGUUAAGGAGGAGGAUUAUUUUAUUGUUUCUUUAUUUUACAUUUAUUUCAUAUUUAUUUAAUUUGUUUAGUUGCAGGGAUGUAUUUUCUUCUAGUAUACUUAAGAGAGAACGCUCUGAUAGCAGGAGGUGCCUCAUCUUUAUUACUUUGUUUCUUAUGUUUACAUUUAUUUAUUUAAUUAAUUGACUUAGUUGUAGAUAUGAGCCGGCCUGCUAUUCUUACCAGAGAACACCGUAAUAACAAGAGGAAGUGCCGUUGAGAAGACACAUGUUUCUAUUACUUUUUAGUUUUUCUUUAUUUUUUACACAUUUUCAUUUUAGUUUACAUACGUUUAAUUAACUUUUAGUUGUAGAUAUAUACUUCCCUUUAUAUUGGAGAGAACACGGUAGAAAGAUGAACAUGUGCCGUGCCGUUCAUCGUCAGGGCAUCUUACUCAGGCAGCUUAGCGUAAGUACAACCCUCGUCUUUUUGAAGGACGUAUUCUGAAACGCUUUGCUAUUUUCAAAGGCCUCAGAGAUGAAUAGCCGGGUUCUGAAGACUAUUUCUACUGUUUAUAAUGUACAAACUUUGUCACUAGAAGUAUAAAAACACCUUCAAAAACCCAUGUCACUUUAGUAACUAGAGUCUUUUGAAAGUAGUCGAGGCGCAGCCAGAAGUGUUUCAGAAUAUGCUCCGUGUUUCAGAAUAUACUCUUGCUGAAGCGUGCGUGUGAACUGUGACAUUAACCUAACGCUGUGCUCCUCCCCGACUUCCCGCCCUUCUCUACGAAAAAUAAAAUCCUUGCACUUUCCUGCCAAGAAAUUUGAAUAUGGAGUGUUGAAUGUGUGCUUGUGAAUGUAAUAGAAUCUUAUCAUCGCCUGUAGCAUAUUAUUAUUUCUUCAGCCCACGUCCAACCACCUCACCACUCAGGCGGGUUCCACUUCUCUGCAAUGGGGUGGGCGUGCGUGGUGAGGGCAAGGAAGGCAUGUAUGGGAUUUACGCAGAAUCCUUGCGCGGUGGUGAGGGGCGUAGUGAAAAGCAACGUAAAGUACUCAAUUGAAUAAUGUCCUUAAAAGGUAAUAGUGAGGAGGUGUUUCUCUUGUGAAAGGUAAUGGUAAGGUGUGUGUGUUUUUAUCAUCAUUAGUCAGUCAGGUUUAUAAAAUGCCAUUUGGUUUGCAGGUGUGUGAACGGCUCCAUGCUCCCAAUACAGGAUGGCUCCCACUGAUGCCAAGGCGGCUGCUGCGCAGUCACGUACAGCAGGUUUUAACUGUGUAGUAAUGAAUAAAAAAAAAAUAUGCCUUAUGCAUACUGUCAACGACUUAAGCACUGGAACGUAUAUAUAAAUUGUGCUUUGUAUAUAUUGUGCUUUCUGGCGGUGGUGGUUGCAUAUAUUGUGCUAUCUGGCGGUGGCGGCUGCAAGUAGAGCAUAGAGUAUGUGCAAGUAGAGCAUAUACGUAGAUAUGUCGGUGUCUUCCUCCACGGGUAUUGUUAAAGGGAAGUUUUACAGAACAGGUAGUUAGUUUUUACCGAGUUUCAAACGAUGUGAAUAUGGUGCAACAAUCAAUGAAAAAUUGUCUUUUCAUGAAGGGUACAAAGAAAAUCAUUUUAUACCUCAGUCUCUCCGGAGAAAUUGCAUUUAUACAUGUAAAACCGAGUUACCUCAGUCUCGAGAAAAUAUUGCCUUUAUUUUUACCUCAGAAUUAUAGUAUACAUCAGAAGUCUCCAGAGAAAACUUUUUUUCCGGAGAAAACGGUUUUUAUAUAUUUAUGAAAAGAAAAAUAUGAAGAACAUUUCCGUGUAAAGAUUUUUUUUUUUUUUUUUUUU